rnacentral:lncRNA from 1 species
ACUGGAAUGGGUUGCCAUGCCCUCCUCCAGGGGAUCCUCCUGACCCAGGGGUUGAACCCGUGUCUCCUGCAUUGUAGGUGAAUUCUUUACUGACUGAGCCACCAGGGAAGCCCCACAUAUACAUGUAUACAUAAUAAAGGAUAUAGAAAUAAGAAUGAAGAAAAAUAUAUAUAUAUGUCUGAAUCAUUUUUCUGUACACCCGAAACUGAAACAGCAUUGUAAAUUAACUACACUUCAAUAAAAGUUAAAUAUAAAUAAUUUUUAAUAAAACAUAAAGCUCAGAGUGGCAAAUCCUAUAGACAUUUCACCCACAUAAAGUAAUUACAGAUCACUAUCCAAACACACAACAAUUGAGCCUCAAAAUGCUGGUUCUUCAGUUCAUAUGGAUUUUACUUUCUGUUGACCAUAUAUUUGUUUUCUUAAAGUAAAAACAACCUUUUAUAUAAGUUCACCAAGAUUUAUUCAAUACAGUAAGUCCCCUACAUACAAACCUUCAGCUUGCAAACUUUCAAAGAUGCGAAUGUAUGUCUGGUUCUAGCAAGGAGCCAGAACCUGUGCCAUCACCCUCAGGCAUGGGUGAAACUGCAGCUUGCCCCUCCCUCUUCUAUUGCUGAUGACCCUCCAGCUCUAUCGUCUCCCACCUCCUCCCUCUCCUCCAGUCUGUAACUCUUCUCACCUGUUCACUCAUGCCAGUCCUUGUAUGCCAGCUGCUGCAGUGUGCUGAGUACUGUACUGUAAGAUUAAAAAUGUUUUCCUUUUUGUUUCUUAGGUUUUUAUAUAUUAUUUAUAUGAAAAGUAUUAUAAAUCUAUUACAGUACAGUACUAUGUAGCUGGUCGUGUGAGUUGGGUACCCAGGCUAACCCUGUUGGACUUAUGAACACUUGGACUUAUGAACCCCCUCAGAAUGGAACUCAUUCGUAUGUAGGGGACUUACUGUAACAGAUUGCUUCCUGGGGUUGUUUAAAGCCAUACAAGCUGGGCAUUCUCUUCUCUUGAGCAUC